CUCCGCAACGGGAGAGGCCACAACAGUGAGAGGCCCGCAUACCGAAAAAAAAAAAGUGGGGGGGGAGGCUGUGUAGACGGCAGUGACAGCAGCAAUGGAAUAUUGCUUACAUUCAGGGAUAUUGAUCAAAAGUAAAUAUAUUUGUUAUAAUGGGAGCCAGGUUUCUCACUGCCCUAGAAGGAGUUAUAAACAUGAAGAGAGAAAAUGAGAAUGAACUUUGUAGUGUUGGUUUGGAACUGGAGUUACUGGUAUAAACUCAUAUAGUUUUCAAGAUUGAGAAAUAAUAAUAGAUGAAAAUGUGUGUUUUUGUGCACACAUGUGAGAAGACGGGAUCAGUCACACUCCAAUGAGCAUACCUGGCAUCUAGAUCUCGGUUUCUAAAUACAUUCUUCACUAAAAGAAACCAGGACUUCUUGGAGAAAUGGCUGUGGCAGAGAAAGUACAAGAUGAUACUGUAACAUCUUACUCCAGAAGCAUGCUAGAAAGCAAAGAGAAGACAUGAGGUAGCAGGAAGGAAUGAAAGAGUGAAGAUAAUGAAGUGUCUUUGUGCAGGUUACUAGGGGCUUCUGGGGGCAGUGACCUAAUCCAGUUGAUGACUCCAACCUUGAGACUUCCAGGUUGCAGAUGCACAUGAUAGCCUCCAAAUUACAGUGACUUGAACUAAAACUACGAUAUUGUUGCAACACCCUUAUUUAGUGAUUUUCAAAACAGCCCUUGUAGGGCUUCCCUGGUGGCGCGGUGGUUAAGAAUCCGCCUGCCAAUGCAGGGGAUGUGGGUUUGAGCCCUGGUCCGGGAAGAUCCCACAUGCCG